UGUCAGUAAGAUAGGGUAAUAAUUCCUAAUUUACAGGGUGUGGUGAGGGCGAAGUUCAUCCCGUGAGCACCUGUCGGAUGAUCUACGGCAGUGGCUUUCAGAACAGGGUUCCUGGACCAGGAGCAACAGCAUCACCUGGGAACUUGUUAGAACUGAAAUUUCUGGGGGGCUCCACCCCAGACUUGCUGAGUCAGAAACCCUGGGGGGAGCCCAGCAGUCUGUGUUUGAAUGAGCCCUCCAGGGAUUCUGAUGUCUGCUAAAGUUUGAGAACCAACGAUCUAGCUAGAACAUAAUGGACCCUCAAUAAACAGUAGCUGUCAUUGCUAUUUUUACAGCUUUAAGGAAAGAGUUUGCCAAAGGAAAAUGUUCACAUAUCACCAACUGCUAGGGCCAUCUGGGAUGAGCUGGAGUUUGAGGACACCCAAGACUUUGAGUUCCAACACCAACAGUAAGUGGUUUGGGGAUUCUCCCGGCCACUCCACAGAGGGCUGAGACUGACCACGCUACCUCAGAGCUGACUCCCUCGCAGGCCUGUCCAGGGCCGUUUCUGAUCCUACCUUACCCGCUCAAGGUAAGAUGUUCCUCUGCAUCCCAGAGGAGUCUGGGAAUAUCUCAAACGGGGUGAGGGGGAAAAGGGACAGAGAGACUUUCCGAGAGAGGGAGAAGGUACAAAAGAAAGAAAGAAAGAUUCAUCCCUAAAAAGUUGAAGUGAACAGCUGAGUAAAGAAAAAUCUGCCCAGAAAUUUGGGGGGUAAGAAUGUUCAGAAAAGAGGAAGGAGAAAAGGAGAGCAGGAAGCCUGGGAGAUUCCUGAUACCACAAAUACACCAAAGGGUGAUGUGCUGGCUCCGGAGAAGCAGGAAGAAGCAGAAACAACACAGAAGGAGUUGAAGUAAAUAAUAUUCCAUUCUUUUUUUCCCCCUUUCUUGCUGAUUCUAUAGAAGCAGAGUCUUAAUCUUCUACGGGAGCAUUGUGAUACUUGUUCUGUAGCGGAAAGAGCCCCUGACUCCACCGACUAGAUGGGUCAGCUGCCACUAGAUGGGGGUAUUUUGCUGAUUUGGGUGGGAGACACUUAGAAAAAUCUAUUUUGAGAUGUUCUGCAGUCACCAUUUGGGCUCCAUUUGGGCUUGCCCAGGAGAAACCAGGAGGAGAAGGCAGGUUUGUACUCAAGCAACAGCUGACAACCGACCCGAACAACAACAAGGAGAGAGAGUGUAUAAGAAGGAUGCUGGAACAAUCAGGGAGGGAGCACCGGAGCUGCUGGGAAGAGGCAAGGUCGAGGCCACAGUUCAGUGUCCUGGCCAUCGGCUUCUGUGGUCCAUACGCGGGCCACUGUGUUUCACCACGAGACAAGCAGAGGACCAGGAUGGAAUUGCUGAAUUCACUAGAAAUAUAACUGUGCCCCCAUAUCCAGGGAUUCCUUUCUUUACUCCUCUUGGCACAGUGAACGGAUCUUUAGAUUUCUUCCCCAGCGGCUACAUGUACAUCUCUACUUAUUUGAAAUGAAAUAAGGCACUGGCUCUUUAAUUCUGAGGCUUGGUGCACCAACCUCAGCAGGCAUCAGCCUCACUGGAGGGCGGGUUAAAGCCACCACCGCUACCACCGCCCCCAGAGUUUCCGAUUCAGUAAGUCUGGAGUGAGGUCUGACAAUCUGCAUUCCUUCAAGUUCCCAGGUGCCGCUGCCGCUAGAACACUGCGAACCAACAUUCUAAGCUUAUACACAGCUGGCCUGGGAGGGGUGGAAGAGGUCCCAGAUGAAGACUGGUAUGGAAGGCAAGGACAAAGAAUGUGCUGACGGCGAUGGGAGACACUGGAGGAGCAAGGCAAGCUGGAGGAAGUGUGGGAAGCUGCUGAGUGAAGCAUAGCCUCACCAGGGAUGAAGGCUGCCAUCUUGAAGGGUCAGGAAAGUCCAGCUGAAUACCACAGGAUCAAAAGGAAAAGACAGGUGCAGAUAGAAAAGUAGAGAAAGAUCUGAACCUCAGAUAACGAGAACCAUGUUAAGCUGGACAGAAGCUCCCAAUACCACUGAGGAUGUUUCUCCCAAGCUGGACCCAGGUGACUUCUGCACCCUCUCUCUGAGCUCACUGGAGCUAACAUGAGCGUCCUAUGCAUGACCAGCGUCUGCUGACCAGUGGCCCCAGAGCAAAUGUGUUUACAUGCUUUCACACAAGUAAUGUUACAUCUGCUCCCCUCCUCCUGAGUAAGGGGAUGAAUAAGGUAAGGAGAACCAAGUCACCUGAGCCCAGGAAGGAGUCCCCAAUCAACUCUGAGUGGAGGUCAAGGUGGCCACAAAAUUACCCCACUAUAUUGCCCCCCAUACUCCCUGCCAAGCCUUGGUGGGAGAGGAAGCUGUGGAGGGGACAGGAGGAAAGGUGGGCUCCAUCUCUCUGGCAGAUCCUUAUCCUGGCUCUGCAGAAAGGCGGACCUUGGACCUCCAGCUGGACCCCCGCCAACCUUCUCUUCCCAGACCCCACCCUUACCCAUGAGACACUCACACCCAGCUGGUACUAACUCAGGGGCCCAGGUCCACCCUGCUGUUCGGGUUUGGCUGGUUCAAAAACACACAAUCUCAGAAAAAAUGUAGUUUUCUCUCCACCACACAAGGCUGGUGACCUACCCUACAUGAUUCCUUCAGAAACAAAAGCAUCCUAACCUUCCAAGGUCAGCAUUACUCCACCCCAACCCACAGCCAAGGCCAUCAAACACACAAGCAAGCAGCAUAUUUUUACAAAAUCCUUAACAACCUUCUUUCCAGAACUCUGGGGCAAGCAGCCCUGGGGCCGCCAACCAGACUUCCUUCCUUGGCCCAGGCCUCGAUGACGAACCCGCCUCAGCUCAGCAGUUGGCCAGAAAUGCCGAGCUGCCUUAGUGCCCGAGUUCCCAGACGUGUCUGCAUUGCUGAGGAUCAGGGGAGGCCGCAGCAGGUCUGGGCGCUGGGGCAGGAGUGAGAAGGAGACAGCACAGCUGGGGCUGAGAACACCCAGAACCGGUGGGGGGUGGGGGUGGUGCUGGGGAGGCUCUCUCACUGCUGUGUGGGGUAUAUUCUGGAAGCCUCAGACCUCCAUGGCCAAGGCAGCCACCUGCACUCAGGCCAGGGGCUUGACCUACGUGAACUCUGUUCAUCUUCACAACAAUCCUGCCAUGGGGGUUAUUUUACAUUUUACGGAUCAAAGUUGCCCAAAGUCGCCACCAGGAAGCUGCCCCAGCCAGGAUUCAAACUGAUGCUCCACUCUGCCUCCCCACCGAGUCAGUCCUCAAAUUGAGUUCUCUCUGGAAGGCUUUCUUUCUUCCUGACAUCUACACACAAGCACUUUCCCUAAUGUAAAACUCUCUUCAUGUGAAGAGACAGGCCAGUCAACAAAACAGUCCUUGAGAGAAGGCUAUGGAGCAUCGUAGCAUCCUGAGAACCAGAUUUUGUCUGUUUUGUUCAUGGUGGAAUGUCCGGGGUCUACGACAGCGCCUGGCGCAUGCUGACACAGAGGAGGUCCCCAAUACAUGUUUGUUGACCCAACACCCUUCUAGAUGGCAGAUUCUUGCAAAGUUUUCUUGGUGUCCUAGUUAAAUCCCUUCCUAAAAACAAGGAAAGAUUUCAAGAGCGCCCAGCUGGACUCAAGUAGCCACGUGGACACAGCAUAAGUCAGAUAUGUGCAGGCUCGCCCUCAGUCCUCAGAGACCAGACUACACGCAAUGGACAGAACGACAUCCGACUGCUUUCCUGUGUCUGGCCAGAAAUGCCCCCUGCACAGUUACCUCCUGGAAGGACACUGACAACUCCCCACACCCCUUUCAGUUAUGUAUCAGCCCCUGAAGGAUUCUCAGCCCUCGUGGGACACUUCAAACGCUUCUUGCCAACUCCGCAGCAGAGUGGGCCCUUCCCAUCCAGUGCUGCCGGUCUGGCCCCUGUGUCCCACUGAGGAAUGACAGAUGCACUGGACCCCCUCCAGCCCCACAUCCUAGAAAGCUCCUCAGCCAGAUUCUCUUUAAGUAAUGCUGUGUCUGAAGGUCCUGCAGCACCACUGACUUCCUUUAGGAGAAGAACAGACCGACUGCAGUGGCCCUGCUGAAACUGGGCCCCUGGCCGCCAUGUUAUUUCUGCUGACCCAAAGGGAAAACACAGCUAAGGAGCCAGGCCUUCCAUCGGCCUGGGAAUGGCCCCAGACAGCAGCAAACCAAGGGCCCUGCCUCAAGGAGCUCACAACUGGCUUGAAAACCAAGACAAUUUUAAAAUUGUUUUGAAUUUUGAUAAUUUAAUUAAAUUUUAAAAAUAUCUAUAUUUAAAAAUAAUUUUAAAUUUUUAAAUAAAAACAAAUAAUUUUAAUUAGUUUUUUUAAUUGUGAAAUAAGAAAUGUACCAUAAAGCACAUAAAGGGCACUGCUUGUUAACAUACCUGUACACCCACCAAACCCCGCCCAGAUCAAGAUACAUAGACUAUUUUCAGUACCUCAAAAGGUUCUCUCAUGUGCCUCCUCCAUUUGUCUAUACCUCCUCCUCAAGGUAACCACUUUUUGACCUCUAAUAUCAAGUAUUAGUUUUGCCUGAUUUUGAACUUCAUAUCACUGGAAUUCUAUCAUACAUGCUCUUUUAUGUCUGGCUUCUUUCACUUAACCUAUGUGUGAGAUUCAUUUAUAUUGUGUGCCAGUAGUCUGUUCUUCUAAAUUUCUGAGUGGUAUUCCUUCAUAUUAACAUACUACAAUUUCUUUAUCCAUCUGCCAGUUUGGGAACUAUUUUGAAUAAAGCUGCUAUGAACCUGC